ACAGAGGGUGCGAGCGUUGUCCGGAAUCACUGGGCGUAAAGGGCGCGUAGGCGGCGCGGUAAGCGUGUGGUGAAAGCCCGGGGCUCAACCCCGGGUCGGCCGUGCGGACUGCCGGGCUGGAGCACUGUAGAGGCAGGUGGAAUUCCGGGUGUAGCGGUGGAAUGCGUAGAGAUCCGGAGGAACACCGGUGGCGAAGGCGGCUAUCUGGACAGAAACUGACGCUGAGGCGCGAAAGCUAGGGGAGCAAACAGGA
rnacentral:rRNA from 1 species